CAGGCCAACAGCAGAGACUAACUGAAGAACGUCUUGUUCCUGUCAGUAUGCAACGCAAGCCCUCCCAGGCAUCUUUUGCUUCCCGAGGUGCAAGAAGAAAGACAUCAAUAAGACCAACAUACGACGGAGAUGCAUAGGGGACGGCUUCAAAACUGCAUGAAGUCCUUCAGAAUCAUCCAGAAGCGUUGAGGGCGAGGGCCCGAAGGCGAGCAAUUCACUGGCUUUACAAUGGCUUCGCUCGCCCGCUUCUGCAACGAGGCCACUUUCCAAGGGCGCUGCAGAAACGAAAGAGCCGUAGCGGUUUGGCCGACUAGAUCGGCUGUUACAGGCCAACAGCAGAGACUAACUGAAGAACGUCUUGUUCCUGUCAGUAUGCAACGCAAGCCCUCCCAGGCAUCUUUUGCUUCCCGAGGUGCAAGAAGAACGACAUCAAUAAGACCAACAUACGACGGAGAUGCAUAGGGGACGGCUUCGCAACUGCAUGAAGUCCUUCAGAAUCAUCCAGAAGCGUUGAGGGCGAGGGCCCGAAGGCGAGCAAUUCACUGGCUUUACAAUGGCUUCGCUCGCCCGCUUCUGCAACGAGGCCACUUUCCAAGGGCGCUGCAGAAACGAAAGAGCCGUAGCGGUUUGGCCGACUAGAUCGGCUGUUACAGGCCAACAGCAGAGACUAACUGAAGAACGUCUUGUUCCUGUCAGUAUGCAACGCAAGUCCUCCCAGGCAUCUUUUGCUUUCAGAGGUGCAAGAACAACAUCCAUAAUACCCAUAUACGACGGAGAUGCAUAGGGGACGGCUUCGCAACUGCAUGAAGUCCUUCAGAAUCAUCCAGAAGCGUUGAGGGCGAGGGCCCGAAGGCGAGCAGUUCACUGGCUUUACAAUGGCUUCGCUCGCCCGCUUCUGCAACGAGGCCACUUUCCAAGGGCGCUGCAGAAACGAAAGAGCCGUAGCGGUUUGGCCGACUAGAUCGGCUGUUACAGGCCAACAGCAAAGACUAACUGAAGAACGUCUUGUUCCUGUCAGUAUGCAACGCAAGCCCUCCCAGGCAUCUUUUGCUUUCAGAGGUGCAAGAACAACAUCCAUAAUACCCAUACACGACGGAGAUGCAUAGGGGACUGCUUCGCAACUGCAUGAAGUCCUUCAGAAUCAUCCAGAAGCGUUGAGGGCGAGGGCCCGAAGGCGAGCAAUUCACUGGCUUUACAAUGGCUUCGCUCGCCGGCUUCUCGCAACGAGGCCACUUUCCAAGGGCGCUGCAGAAACGAAAGAGCCGUAGCGGUUUGGCAGACUAGAUCGGCUGUUACAGGCCAACAGCAGAGACUAACUGAAGAACGUCUUGUUCGUGUCAGUAUGCAACGCAAGCCCUCCCAGGCAUCUUUUGCUUUCAGAGGUGCAUGAAGAACGACAUCAAUAACACCAACAUACGACGGAGAUGCAUAGGGGACGGCUUCGCAACUGCAUGAAGUCCUUCAGAAUCAUCCAGAAGCGUUGAGGGCGAGGGCCCGAAGGCGAGCAAUUCACUGGCUUUACAAUGGCUUCGCUCGCCCGCUUCUGCAACGAGGCCACUUUCCAAGGGCGCUGCAGAAACGAAAGAGCCGUAGCGGUUUGGCCGACUAGAUCGGCUGUUACAGGCCAGCAGCAGAGACUAACUGAAGAACGUCUUGUUCCUGUCAGUAUGCAACGCAAGCCCUCCCAGGCAUCUUUUGCUUUCAGAGGUGCAUGAAGAACGACAUCAAUAACACCAACAUACGACGGAGAUGCAUAGGGGACGGCUUCGCAACUGCAUGAAGUCCUUCAGAAUCAACCAGAAGCGUUGAGGGCGAGGGCCCGAAGGCGAGCAAUUCACUGGCUUUACAAUGGCUUCGCUCGCCCGCUUCUGCAACGAGGCCCCUCUCCAAGGGCGCUGCAGAAACGAAAGAGCCGUAGCGGUUUGGCCGACUAGAUCGGCUGUUACAGGCCAACAGCAGAGACUAACUGAGGAACGUCUUGUUCCUGUCAGUAUGCAACGCAAGCCCUCCCAGGCAUCUUUUGCUUCCCGAGGUGCAACAACGACAUCCAUAAUACCAACAUACGACGGAGAUGCAUAGGGGACGGCUUCGCAACUGCAUGAAGUCCUUCAGAAUCAUCCAGAAGCGUUGAGGGCGAGGGCCCGAAGGCGAGCAAUUCACUGGCUUUACAAUGGCUUCGCUCGCCCGCUUCUGUAACGAGGUCAUCCAAGGGCGCUGCAGAAACGAAAGAGCCGUAUUGGUUUGGCCGACUAGAUCGGCUGUUACAGGCCAACAGCAGAGACUAACUGAAGAACGUCUUGUUCCUGUCAGUAUGCAACGCAAGCCCUCCCAGGCAUCUUUUGCUUCCCGAGGUGCAAGAAGAAAGACAUCAAUAAGACCAACAUACGACGGAGAUGCAUAGGGGACGGCUUCGCAACUGCAUGAAGUCCUUCAGAAUCAUCCAGAAGCGUUGAGGGCGAGGGCCCGAAGGCGAGCAAUUCACUGGCUUUACAAUGGCUUCGCUCGCCCGCUUCUGCAACGAGGCCACUUUCCAAGGGCGCUGCAGAAACCAAAGAGCCGUAGCGGUUUGGCCGACUAGAUCGGCUGUUACAGGCCAACAGCAGAGACUAACUGAAGAACGUCUUGUUCCUGUCAGUAUGCAACGCAAGCCCUCCCAGGCAUCUUUUGCUUUCAGAGGUGCAAGAAGAAAGACAUCAAUAAGACCAACAUACGACGGAGAUGCAUAGGGGACGGCUUCGCAACUGCAUGAAGUCCUUCAGAAUCAUUCAGAAGCGUUGAGGGCGAGGGCCCGAAGGCGAGCAAUUCACUGGCUUUACAAUGGCUUCGCUCGCCCGCUUCUGCAACGAGGCCACUUUCCAAGGGCGCUGCAGAAACGGAAGAGCCGUAUUGGUUUGGCAGACUAGAUCGGCUGUUACAGGCCAACAGCAGAGACUAACUGAAGAACGUCUUGUUCCUGUCAGUAUGCAACGCAAGCCCUCCCAGGCACCUUUUGUUUUCAGAGGUGCAAGAAGAAAGACAUCAAUAAGACCAACAUGCGACGGAGAUGCAUAGGGGACGGCUUCGCAACUGCAUGAAGUCCUUCAGAAUCAUCCAGAAGCGUUGAGGGCGAGGGCCCAAAGGCGAGCAAUUCACUGGCUUUACAAUGGCUUCGCUCGCCCGCUUCUGCAACGAGGCCACUUUCCAAGGGCGCUGCAGAAACGAAAGAGCCGCAGUAUGCAACGCAAGCCCUCCCAGGCAUCUUUUGCUUUCAGAGGUGCAAGAACAACAUCCAUAAUACCCAUAUACGACGGAGAUGCAUAGGGGACGGCUUCGCAACUGCAUGAAGUCCUUCAGAAUCAUCCAGAAGCGUUGAGGGCGAGGGCCCGAAGGCGAGCAAUUCACUGGCUUUACAAUGGCUUCGCUCGCCCGCUUCUGCAACGAGGCCACUUUCCAAGGGCGCUGCAGAAACGAAAGAGCCGUAGCGGUUUGGCCGACUAGAUCGGCUGUUACAGGCCAACAGCAGAGACUAACUGAAGAACGUCUUGUUCCUGUCAGUAUGCAACGCAAGCCCUCCCAGGCAUCUUUCGCUUUCAGAGGUGCAAGAAGAAAGACAUCAAUAAGACCAACAUACGACGGAGAUGCAUAGGGGACGGCUUCGCAACUGCAUGAAGUCCUUCAGAAUCAUCCAGAAGCGGAGCGCGAGGGCCCAAAGGCGAGCAAUUCACUGGCCUUACAAUGGCUUCGUUCGCCCGCUUCUGCAACGAGGCCACUUUCCAAGGGCGCUGCAGAAACGAAAGAGCCGUAGCGGUUUGGCCGACUAGAUCGGCUGUUACAGGCCAACAGCAGAGACUAACUGAAGAACGUCUUGUUCCUGUCAGUAUGCAACGCAAGCCCUCCCAGGCAUCUUUUGCUUCCCGAGGUGCAAGAAGAACGACAUCAAUAAGACCAACAUACGACGGAGAUGCGUAGGGGACGGCUUCGCAACUGCAUGAAGUCCUUCAGAAUCAUCCAGAAGCGUUGAGGGCGAGGGCCCGAAGGCGAGCAAUUCACUGGCUUUACAAUGGCUUCGCUCGCCCGCUUCUGCAACGAGGCCACUUUCCAAGGGCGCUGCAGAAACGAAAGAGCCGUAGCGGUUUGGCCGACUAGAUCGGCUGUUACAGGCCAACAGCAGAGACUAACUGAAGAACGUCUUGUUCCUGUCAGUAUGCAACGCAAGCCCUCCCAGGCAUCUUUCGCUUUCAGAGGUGCAAGAAGAAAGACAUCAAUAAGACCAACAUACGACGGAGAUGCAUAGGGGACGGCUUCGCAACUGCAUGAAGUCCUUCAGAAUCAUCCAGAAGCGUUGAGGGCGAGGGCCCGAAGGCGAGCAAUUCACUGGCUUUACAAUGGCUUCGCUCGCCCGCUUCUGCAAUGAGGUCACUUUCCAAGGGCGCUGCAGAAACCAAAGAGCCGUAGCGGUUUGGCCGACUAGAUCGGCUGUUACAGGCCAACAGCAGAGACUAACUGAAGAAAGUCUUGUUCCUGUCAGUAUGCAACGCAAGCCCUCCCAGGCAUCUUUUGCUUUCAGAGGUGCAAGAAGAAAGACAUCAAUAAGACCAACAUACGACGGAGAUGCAUAGGGGACGGCUUCGCAACUGCAUGAAGUCCUUCAGAAUCAUCCAGAAGCGUUGAGGGCGAGGGCCCGAAGGCGAGCAAUUCACUGGCUUUACAAUGGCUUCGCUCGCCCGCUUCUGCAACGAGGCCACUUUCCAAGGGCGCUGCAGAAGCGAAAGAGCCGUAGCGGUUUGGCCGACUGGAUCGGCUGUUACAGGCCAACAGCAGAGACUAACUGAAGAACGUCUUGUUCCUGUCAGUAUGCAACGCAAGCCCUCCCAGGCAUCUUUUGCUUCCCGAGGUACAAGAACGACAUCCAUAAUACCAACAUACGACGGAGAUGCAUAGGGGACGGCUUCGCAACUGCAUGAAGUCCUUCAGAAUCAUCCAGAAGCGUUGAGGGCGAGGGCCCGAAGGCGAGCAAUUCACUGGCUUUACAAUGGCUUCGCUCGCCCGCUUCUGCAACGAGGCCACUUUCCAAGGGCGCUGCAGAAACGAAAGAGCCGUAGCGGUUUGGCCGACUAGAUCGGCUGUUACAGGCCAACAGCAGAGACUAACUGAAGAACGUCUUGUUCCUGUCAGUAUGCAACGCAAGCCCUCCCAGGCAUCUUUUGCUUUCAGAAGUGCAAGAACAACAUCCAUAAUACCAAUAUACGACGGAGAUGCAUAGGGGACGGCUUCGCAACGGCAUGAAGUCCUUCAGAAUCAUCCAGAAGCGUUGAGGGAGAGGGCCCGAAGGCGAGCAAUUCACUGGCUUUACAAUGGCUUCGCUCGCUCGCUCCUGCAACGAGGCCACUUUCCAAGGGCGCUGCAGAAACGAAAGAGCCGUAGCCGUUUGGCCGACUAGAUCGGCUGUUACAGGCAAACAGCAGAGACUAACUGAAGAACGCCUAGUUCCUGUCAGUAUGCAACGCAAGCCCUCCCAGGCAUCUUUUGCUUCCCGAGAUGCAAGAAGAACGACAUCAAUAACACCAACAUAGACUGAGAUGCAUAGGGGACGGCUUCGCAACUGCAUGAAGUCCUUCAGAAUCAUCCAGAAGCGUUGAGGGCGAGGGCCCGAAGGCGAGCAAUUCACUGGCUUUACAAUGGCUUCGCUCGCCCGCUUCUGCAACGAGGCCACUUUCCAAGGGCGCUGCAGAAACGAAAGAGCCGUAGCGGUUUGGCCGACUAGAUCGGCUGUUACAGGCCAACAGCAGAGACUAACUGAAGAACAUCCUGUUCCUGUCAGUAUGCAACGCAAGCCCUCCCAGGCAUCUUUUGCUUUCAGAAGUGCAAGAACAACAUCCAUAAUACCAAUAUACGACGGAGAUGCAUAGGGGACGGCUUCGCAACGGCAUGAAGUCCUUCAGAAUCAUCCAGAAGCGUUGAGGGCGAGGGCCCGAAGGCGAGCAAUUCACUGGCUUUACAAUGGCUUCGCUCGCCGGCUUCUGCAACGAGGCCACUUUCCAAGGGCGCUGCAGAAACGAAAGAGCCGUAGCCGUUUGGCCGACUAGAUCGGCUGUUACAGGCAAACAGCAGAGACUAACUGAAGAACGCCUAGUUCCUGUCAGUAUGCAACGCAAGCCCUCCCAGGCAUCUUUUGCUUCCCGAGAUGCAAGAAGAACGACAUCAAUAACACCAACAUAGACUGAGAUGCAUAGGGGACGGCUUCGCAACUGCAUGAAGUCCUUCAGAAUCAUCCAGAAGCGUUGAGGGCGAGGGCCCGAAGGCGAGCAAUUCACUGGCUUUACAAUGGCUUCGCUCGCCCGCUUCUGCAACGAUGCCACUUUCCAAGGGCGCUGCAGAAACGAAAGAGCCGUAGCGGUUUGGCCGACUAGAUCGGCUGUUACAGGCCAACAGCAGAGACUAACUGAAGAACGUCUUGUUCCUGUCAGUAUGCAACGCAGGCCCUCCCAGGCAUCUUUUGCUUCCCGAGGUGCAAGAACGACAUCCAUAAUACCAACAUAACGACGGAGAUGCAUAGGGGAUGGCUUCGCAACUGCAUGAAGUCCUUCAGAAUCAUCCAGAAGCGUUGAGGGCGAGGGCCCGAAGUCGAGCAAUUCACUGGCUUUACAAUGGCUUCGCUCGCCCGCUUCUGCAACGAGGCCACUUUCCAAGGGCGCUGCAGAAACGAAAGAGCCGUAGCGGUUUGGCCGACUAGAUCGGCUGUUACAGGCAAACAGCAGAGACUAACUGAAGAACGCCUAGUUCCUGUCAGUAUGCAACGCAAGCCCUCCCAGGCAUCUUUUGCUUCCCGAGGUGCAAGAAGAACGACAUCCAUAAUACCAACAUACGACGGAGAUGCAUAGGGGAUGGCUUCGCAACUGCAUGAAGUCCUUCAGAAUCAUCCAGAAGCGUUGAAUGCGAGGGCGCGAAGGCGAGCAAUUCACUGGCUUUACAAUGGCUUCGCUCGCCCGCUUCUGCAACGAGGCCACUUUCCAAGAGCGCUGCAGAAACGAAAGAGCCGUAGCGGUUUGGCCGACUAGAUCGGCUGUUACAGGCCAACAGCAGAGACUAACUGAAGAACGUCUUGUUCCUGUCAGUAUGCAACGCAGGCCCUCCCAGGCAUCUUUUGCUUCCCGAGGUGCAAGAACGACAUCCAUAAUACCAACAUAACGACGGAGAUGCAUAGGGGAUGGCUUCGCAACUGCAUGAAGUCCUUCAGAAUCAUCCAGAAGCGUUGAGGGCGAGGGCCCGAAGGCGAGCAAUUCACUGGCUUUACAAUGGCUUCGCUCGCCCGCUUCUGCAACGAGGCCACUUUCCACGGGCGCUGCAUAAACGAAAGAGCCGUAGCGGUUUGGCCGACUAGAUCGGCUGUUACAGGCCAACAGCAGAGACUAACUGAAGAACGUCUUGUUCCUGUCAGUAUGCAACGCAGGCCCUCCCAGGCAUCUUUUGCUUCCCGAGGUGCAAGAAGAACGACAUCCAUAAUACCAACAUAACGACGGAGAUGCAUAGGGGACGGCUUCGCAACUGCAUGAAGUCCUUCAGAAUCAUCCAGAAGCGUUGAGGGCGAGGGCGCGAAGGCGAGCAAUUCACUGGCUUUACAAUGGCUUCGCUCGCCCGCUUCUGCAACCAGGCCACUUUCCAAGGGCGCUGCAGAAACGAAAGAGCCGUAGCGGUUUGGCCGACUAGAUCGGCUGUUACAGGCCAACAGCAGAGACUAACUGUAGAACGUCUUGUUCCUGUCAGUAUGCAACGCAAGCCCUCCCAGGCAUCUUUUGCUUUCAGAAGUGCAAGAACAACAUCCAUAAUACCAAUAUACGACGGAGAUGCAUAGGGGACGGCUUCGCAACGGCAUGAAGUCCUUCAGAAUCAUCCAGAAGCGUUGAGGGCGAGGGCCCGAAGGCGAGCAAUUCACUGGCUUUACAAUGGCUUCGCUCGCCCGCUUCUGCAACGAGGCCACUUUCCAAGGGCGCUGCAGAAACGAAAGAGCCGUAGCCGUUUGGCCGACUAGGUCGGCUGUUACAGGCAAACAGCAGAGACUAACUGAAGAACGCCUAGUUCCUGUCAGUAUGCAACGCAAGCCCUCCCAGGCAUCUUUUGCUUCCCGAGAUGCAAGAAGAACGACAUCAAUAACACAAACAUAGACUGAGAUGCAUAGGGGACGGCUUCGCAACUGCAUGAAGUCCUUCAGAAUCAUCCAGAAGCGUUGAGGGCGAGGGCCCGAAGGCGAGCAAUUCACUGGCUUUACAAUGGCUUCGCUCGCCCGCUUCUGCAACGAGGCCACUUUCCACGGGCGCUGCAUAAACGAAAGAGCCGUAGCGGUUUGGCCGACUAGAUCGGCUGUUAGAGGCCAACAGCAGAGACUAACUGAAGAACGUCUUGUUCCUGUCAGUAUGCAACGCAGGCCCUCCCAGGCAUCUUUUGCUUCCCGAGGUGCAAGAAGAACGACAUCCAUAAUACCAACAUAACGACGGAGAUGCAUAGGGGACGGCUUCGCAACUGCAUGAAGUCCUUCAGAAUCAUCCAGAAGCGUUGAAUGCGAGGGCGCGAAGGCGAGCAAUUCACUGGCUUUACAAUGGCUUCGCUCGCCCGCUUCUGCAACGAGGCCACUUUCCAAGGGCGCUGCAGAAACGAAAGAGCCGUAGCGGUUUGGCCGACUAGAUCGGCUGUUACAGGCCAACAGCAGAGACUAACUGAGGAACUUCUUGUUCCUGUCAGUAUGCAACGCAGGCCCUCCCAGGCAUCUUUUGCUUCCCGAGGUGCAAGAACGACAUCCAUAAUGCCAACAUACGACCGAGAUGCAUAGGGGAUGGCUUCGCAACUGCAUGAAGUCCUUCAGAAUCAUCCAGAAGCGUUGAGGGCGAGGGCCCGAAGGCGAGCAAUUCACUGGCUUUACAAUGGCUUCGCUCGCCCGCUUCUGCAACGAGGCCACUUUCCAAGGGCGCUGCAGAAACGAAAGAGCCGUAGCCGUUUGGCCGACUAGGUCGGCUGUUACAGGCAAACAGCAGAGACUAACUGAAGAACGCCUAGUUCCUGUCAGUAUGCAACGCAAGCCCUCCCAGGCAUCUUUUGCUUCCCGAGAUGCAAGAAGAACGACAUCAAUAACACAAACAUAGACUGAGAUGCAUAGGGGACGGCUUCGCAACUGCAUGAAGUCCUUCAGAAUCAUCCAGAAGCGUUGAGGGCGAGGGCCCGAAGGCGAGCAAUUCACUGGCUUUACAAUGGCUUCGCUCGCCCGCUUCUGCAACGAGGCCACUUUCCACGGGCGCUGCAUAAACGAAAGAGCCGUAGCGGUUUGGCCGACUAGAUCGGCUGUUACAGGCCAACAGCAGAGACUAACUGAAGAACGUCUUGUUCCUGUCAGUAUGCAACGCAGGCCCUCCCAGGCAUCUUUUGCUUCCCGAGGUGCAAGAAGAACGACAUCCAUAAUACCAACAUAACGACGGAGAUGCAUAGGGGAUGGCUUCGCAACUGCAUGAAGUCCUUCAGAAUCAUCCAGAAGCGUUGAGGGCGAGGGCGCGAAGGCGAGCAAUUCACUGGCUUUACAAUGGCUUCGCUCGCCCGCUUCUGCAACGAGGCCACUUUCCAAGAGCGCUGCAGAAACGAAAGAGCCGUAGCGGUUUGGCCGACUAGAUCGGCUGUUACAGGCCAACAGCAGAGACUAACUGAAGAACGUCUUGUUCCUGUCAGUAUGCAACGCAAGCCCUCCCAGGCAUCUUUUGCUUUCAGAAGUGCAAGAACAACAUCCAUAAUACCAAUAUACGACGGAGAUGCAUAGGGGACGGCUUCGCAACGGCAUGAAGUCCUUCAGAAUCAUCCAGAAGCGUUGAAGGCGAGGGCCCGAAGGCGAGCAAUUCACUGGCUUUACAAUGGCUUCGCUCGCCCGCUUCUGCAACGAGGCCACUUUCCAAGGGCGCUGCAGAAACGAAAGAGCCGUAGCCGUUUGGCCGACUAGAUCGGCUGUUACAGGCAAACAGCAGAGACUAACUGAAGAACGCCUAGUUCCUGUCAGUAUGCAACGCAAGCCCUCCCAGGCAUCUUUUGCUUCCCGAGAUGCAAGAAGAACGACAUCAAUAACACCAACAUAGACUGAGAUGCAUAGGGGACGGCUUCGCAACUGCAUGAAGUCCUUCAGAAUCAUCCAGAAGCGUUGAGGGCGAGGGCCCGAAGGCGAGCAAUUCACUGGCUUUACAAUGGCUUCGCUCGCCCGCUUCUGCAACGAGGCCACUUUCCACGGGCGCUGCAUAAACGAAAGAGCCGUAGCGGUUUGGCCGACUAGAUCGGCUGUUACAGGCCAACAGCAGAGACUAACUGAAGAACGUCUUGUUCCUGUCAGUAUGCAACGCAGGCCCUCCCAGGCAUCUUUUGCUUCCCGAGGUGCAAGAAGAACGACAUCCAUAAUACCAACAUAACGACGGAGAUGCAUAGGGGAUGGCUUCGCAACUGCAUGAAGUCCUUCAGAAUCAUCCAGAAGCGUUGAGGGCGAGGGCCCGAAGGCGAGCAAUUCACUGGCUUUACAAUGGCUUCGCUUGCCCGCUUCUGCAACGAGGCCACUUUCCAAGGGCACUGCAGAAACGAAAGAGCCGUAGCGGUUUGGCCGACUAGAUCGGCUGUUACAGGCAAACAGCAGAGACUAACUGAAGAACGCCUAGUUCCUGUCAGUAUGCAACGCAAGCCCUCCCAGGCAUCUUUUGCUUCCCGAGGUGCAAGAAGAACGACAUCAAUAAGAACAACACACGACGGAGAUGCAUAGGGGACGGCUUCGCAACUGCAUGAAGUCCAGAAUCAUCCAGAAGCGGAGGGCGAGGGACCGAAGGCGAGCAAUUCACUGGCUUUACAAUGGCUUCGCUCGCCCGCUUCUGCAACCAGGCCACUUUCCAAGGGCGCUGCAGAAACGAAAGAGCCGUAGCGGUUUGGCCGACUAGAUUGGCUGUUACAGGCCAACAGCUGAGACUAACUGAAGAACGUCUUGUUCCUGUCAGUAUGCAACGCAAGCCCUCCCAGGCAUCUUUUGCUUCCCGAGAUGCAAGAAGAACGACAUCAAUAACACCAACAUAGACUAAGAUGCAUAGGGGACGGCUUCGCAACUGCAUGAAGUCCUUCAGAAUCAUCUAGAAGCGUUGAGGGCGAGGGCCCGAAGGCGAGCAAUUCACUGGCUUUACAAUGGCUUCGCUCGCCCGCUUCUGCAACGAGGCCACUUUCCAAGGGCGCUGCAGAAACGAAAGAGCCGUAGCGGUUUGGCCGACUAGAUCGGCUGUUACAGGCCAACAGCAGAGACUAACUAAAGAACGUCGUGUUCCUGUCAGUAUGCAACGCAGGCCCUCCCAGGCAUCUUUUGCUUCCCGAGGUGCAAGAAGAACGACAUCCAUAAUACCAACAUACGACGGAGAUGCAUAUGGGACGGCUUCGCAACUGCAUGAAGUCCUUCAGAAUUAUCCAGAAGCGUUGAAGGCGAGGCCCGAAGGCGAGCAAUUCACUGGCUUUACAAUGGCUUCGCUCGCCCGCUUCUGCAACGAGGCCACUUUCCAAGGGCGCUGCAGAAACGAAAGAGCCGUAGCGGUUUGGCCGACUAGAUCUGCUGUUACAGGCCAACAGCAGAGACUAACUGAAGAACGUCUUGUUCCUCUCAGUAUGCAACGGAAGCCCUCCCAGGCAUCUUUUGCUUCCCGAGGUGCAAGAAGAACGACAUCCAUAAUACCAACAUACGACGGAGAUGCAUAGGGGAUGGCUUCGCAACUGCAUGAAGUCCUUCAGAAUCAUCCAGAAGCGUUGAGGGCGAGGGCCCGAAGGCGAGCAAUUCACUGGCUUUACAAUGGCUUCGCUCGCCCGCUUCUGCAACGAGGCCACUUUCCAAGGGCGCUGCAGAAACGAAAGAGCCGUAGCGGUUUGGCCGACUAGAUCGGCUGUUACAGGCCAACAGCAGAGACUAACUGAAGAACGUCUUGUUCCUGUCAGUAUGCAACGCAAGCCCUCCCAGGCAUCUUUUGGAAGUGCAAGAACAACAUCCAUAAUACCAAUAUACGACGGAGAUGCAUAGGGGACGGCUUCGCAACGGCAUGAAGUCCUUCAGAAUCAUCCAGAAGCGUUGAGGGCGAGGGCCCGAAGGCGAGCAAUUCACUGGCUUUACAAUGGCUUCGCUCGCCCGCUUCUGCAACGAGGCCACUUUCCAAGGGCGCUGCAGAAACGAAAGAGCCGUAGCCGUUUGGCCGACUAGAUCGGCUGUUACAGGCAAACAGCAGAGACUAACUGAAGAACGCCUAGUUCCUGUCAGUAUGCAACGCAAGCCCUCCCAGGCAUCUUUUGCUUCCCGAGAUUCAAGAAGAACGACAUCCAUAAUACCAACAUACGACGGAGAUGCAUAUGGGACGGCUUCGCAACUGCAUGAAGUCCUUCAGAAUUAUCCAGAAGCGUUGAAGGCGAGGCCCGAAGACGAGCAAUUCACUGGCUUUACAAUGGCUUCGCUCGCCCGCUUCUGCAACGAGGCCACUUUCCAAGGGCGCUGCAGAAACGAAAAGAGCCGUAGCGGUUUGGCCGACUAGAUCUGCUGUUACAGGCCAACAGCAGAGACUAACUGAAGAACGUCUUGUUCCUCUCAGUAUGCAACGGAAGCCCUCCCAGGCAUCUUUUGCUUCCCGAGGUGCAAGAAGAACGACAUCCAUAAUACCAACAUACGACGGAGAUGCAUAGGGGAUGGCUUCGCAACUGCAUGAAGUCCUUCAGAAUCAUCCAGAAGCGUUGAGGGCGAGGGCCCGAAGGCGAGCAAUUCACUGGCUUUACAAUGGCUUCGCUCGCCCGCUUCUGCAACGAGGCCACUUUCCAAGGGCGCUGCAGAAACGAAAGAGCCGUAGCGGUUUGGCCGACUAGAUCGGCUGUUACAGGCCAACAGCAGAGACUAACUGAAGAACGUCUUGUUCCUGUCAGUAUGCAACGCAAGCCCUCCCAGGCAUCUUUUGGAAGUGCAAGAACAACAUCCAUAAUACCAAUAUACGACGGAGAUGCAUAGGGGACGGCUUCGCAACGGCAUGAAGUCCUUCAGAAUCAUCCAGAAGCGUUGAGGGCGAGGGCCCGAAGGCGAGCAAUUCACUGGCUUUAGAAUGGCUUCGCUCGCCCGCUUCUGCAACGAGGCCACUUUCCAAGGGCGCUGCAGAAACGAAAGAGCCGUAGCCGUUUGGCCGACUAGAUCGGCUGUUACAGGCAAACAGCAGAGACUAACUGAAGAACGCCUAGUUCCUGUCAGUAUGCAACGCAAGCCCUCCCAGGCAUCUUUUGCUUCCCGAGGUGCAAGAAGAACGACAUCCAUAAUACCAACAUACGACGGAGAUGCAUAGGGGACGGCUUCGCAACUGCAUGAAGUCCUUCAGAAUUAUCCAGAAGCGUUGAAGGCGAGGCCCGAAGGCGAGCAAUUCACUGGCUUUACAAUGGCUUCGCUCGCCCGCUUCUGCAACGAGGCCACUUUCCAAGGGCGCUGCAGAAACGAAAGAGCCGUAGCGGUUUGGCCGACUAGAUCUGCUGUUACAGGCCAACAGCAGAGACUAACUGAAGAACGUCUUGUUCCUCUCAGUAUGCAACGGAAGCCCUCCCAGGCAUCUUUUGCUUCCCGAGGUGCAAGAAGAACGACAUCCAUAAUACCAACAUAACGACGGAGAUGCAUAGGGGAUGGCUUCGCAACUGCAUGAAGUCCUUCAGAAUCAUCCAGAAGCGUUGAGGGCGAGGGCCCGAAGGCGAGCAAUUCACUGGCUUUACAAUGGCUUCGCUUGCCCGCUUCUGCAACGAGGCCACUUUCCAAGGGCGCUGCAGAAACGAAAGAGCCGUAGCGGUUUGGCCGACUAGAUCGGCUGUUACAGGCAAACAGCAGAGACUAACUGAAGAACGCCUAGUUCCUGUCAGUAUGCAACGCAAGCCCUCCCAGGCAUCUUUUGCUUCCCGAGGUGCAAGAAGAACGACAUCAAUAAGAACAACACACGACGGAGAUGCAUAGGGGACGGCUUCGCAACUGCAUGAAGUCCAGAAUCAUCCAGAAGCGGAGGGCGAGGGACCGAAGGCGAGCAAUUCACUGGCUUUACAAUGGCUUCGCUCGCCCGCUUCUGCAACCAGGCCACUUUCCAAGGGCGCUGCAGAAACGAAAGAGCCGUAGCGGUUUGGCCGACUAGAUUGGCUGUUACAGGCCAACAGCUGAGACUAACUGAAGAACGUCUUGUUCCUGUCAGUAUGCAACGCAAGCCCUCCCAGGCAUCUUUUGCUUCCCGAGAUGCAAGAAGAACGACAUCAAUAACACCAACAUAGACUAAGAUGCAUAGGGGACGGCUUCGCAACUGCAUGAAGUCCUUCAGAAUCAUCUAGAAGCGUUGAGGGCGAGGGCCCGAAGGCGAGCAAUUCACUGGCUUUACAAUGGCUUCGCUCGCCCGCUUCUGCAACGAGGCCACUUUCCAAGGGCGCUGCAGAAACGAAAGAGCCGUAGCGGUUUGGCCGACUAGAUCGGCUGUUACAGGCCAACAGCAGAGACUAACUAAAGAACGUCGUGUUCCUGUCAGUAUGCAACGCAGGCCCUCCCAGGCAUCUUUUGCUUCCCGAGGUGCAAGAAGAACGACAUCCAUAAUACCAACAUACGACGGAGAUGCAUAGGGGAUGGCUUCGCAACUGCAUGAAGUCCUUCAGAAUCAUCCAGAAGCGUUGAGGGCGAGGGCCCGAAGGCGAGCAAUUCACUGGCUUUACAAUGGCUUCGCUCGCCCGCUUCUGCAACGAGGCCACUUUCCAAGGGCGCUGCAGAAACGAAAGAGCCGUAGCGGUUUGGCCGACUAGAUCUGCUGUUACAGGCCAACAGCAGAGACUAACUGAAGAACGUCUUGUUCCUCUCAGUAUGCAACGGAAGCCCUCCCAGGCAUCUUUUGCUUCCCGAGGUGCAAGAAGAACGACAUCCAUAAUACCAACAUACGACGGAGAUGCAUAGGGGAUGGCUUCGCAACUGCAUGAAGUCCUUCAGAAUCAUCCAGAAGCGUUGAGGGCGAGGGCCCGAAGGCGAGCAAUUCACUGGCUUUACAAUGGCUUCGCUCGCCCGCUUCUGCAACGAGGCCACUUUCCAAGGGCGCUGCAGAAACGAAAGAGCCGUAGCGGUUUGGCCGACUAGAUCUGCUGUUACAGGCCAACAGCAGAGACUAACUGAAGAACGUCUUGUUCCUCUCAGUAUGCAACGGAAGCCCUCCCAGGCAUCUUUUGCUUCCCGAGGUGCAAGAAGAACGACAUCCAUAAUACCAACAUACGACGGAGAUGCAUAGGGGAUGGCUUCGCAACUGCAUGAAGUCCUUCAGAAUCAUCCAGAAGCGUUGAGGGCGAGGGCCCGAAGGCGAGCAAUUCACUGGCUUUACAAUGGCUUCGCUCGCCCGCUUCUGCAACGAGGCCACUUUCCAAGGGCGCUGCAGAAACGAAAGAGCCGUAGCGGUUUGGCCGACUAGAUCGGCUGUUACAGGCCAACAGCAGAGACUAACUGAAGAACGUCUUGUUCCUGUCAGUAUGCAACGCAAGCCCUCCCAGGCAUCUUUUGGAAGUGCAAGAACAACAUCCAUAAUACCAAUAUACGACGGAGAUGCAUAGGGGACGGCUUCGCAACGGCAUGAAGUCCUUCAGAAUCAUCCAGAAGCGUUGAGGGCGAGGGCCCGAAGGCGAGCAAUUCACUGGCUUUACAAUGGCUUCGCUCGCCCGCUUCUGCAACGAUGCCACUUUCCAAGGGCGCUGCAGAAACGAAAGAGCCGUAGCCGUUUGCCCGACUAGAUCGGCUGUUACAGGCAAACAGCAGAGACUAACUGAAGAACGCCUAGUUCCUGUCAGUAUGCAACGCAAGCCCUCCCAGGCAUCUUUUGCUUCCCGAGAUUCAAGAAGAACGACAUCCAUAAUACCAACAUACGACGGAGAUGCAUAUGGGACGGCUUCGCAACUGCAUGAAGUCCUUCAGAAUUAUCCAGAAGCGUUGAAGGCGAGGCCCGAAGGCGAGCAAUUCAGUGGCUUUACAAUGGCUUCGCUCGCCCGCUUCUGCAACGAAGCCACUUUCCAAGGGCGCUGCAGAAACGAAAAGAGCCGUAGCGGUUUGGCCGACUAGAUCUGCUGUUACAGGCCAACAGCAGAGACUAACUGAAGAACGUCUUGUUCCUCUCAGUAUGCAACGGAAGCCCUCCCAGGCAUCUUUUGCUUCCCGAGGUGCAAGAAGAACGACAUCCAUAAUACCAACAUACGACGGAGAUGCAUAGGGGAUGGCUUCGCAACUGCAUGAAGUCCUUCAGAAUCAUCCAGAAGCGUUGAGGGCGAGGGCCCGAAGGCGAGCAAUUCACUGGCUUUACAAUGGCUUCGCUCGCCCGCUUCUGCAACGAGGCCACUUUCCAAGGGCGCUGCAGAAACGAAAGAGCCGUAGCGGUUUGGCCGACUAGAUCUGCUGUUACAGGCCAACAGCAGAGACUAACUGAAGAACGUCUUGUUCCUCUCAGUAUGCAACGGAAGCCCUCCCAGGCAUCUUUUGCUUCCCGAGGUGCAAGAAGAACGACAUCCAUAAUACCAACAUACGACGGAGAUGCAUAGGGGAUGGCUUCGCAACUGCAUGAAGUCCUUCAGAAUCAUCCAGAAGCGUUGAGGGCGAGGGCCCGAAGGCGAGCAAUUCACUGGCUUUACAAUGGCUUCGCUCGCCCGCUUCUGCAACGAGGCCACUUUCCAAGGGCGCUGCAGAAACGAAAGAGCCGUAGCGGUUUGGCCGACUAGAUCGGCUGUUACAGGCCAACAGCAGAGACUAACUGAAGAACGUCUUGUUCCUGUCAGUAUGCAACGCAAGCCCUCCCAGGCAUCUUUUGGAAGUGCAAGAACAACAUCCAUAAUACCAAUAUACGACGGAGAUGCAUAGGGGACGGCUUCGCAACGGCAUGAAGUCCUUCAGAAUCAUCCAGAAGCGUUGAGGGCGAGGGCCCGAAGGCGAGCAAUUCACUGGCUUUACAAUGGCUUCGCUCGCCCGCUUCUGCAACGAUGCCACUUUCCAAGGGCGCUGCAGAAACGAAAGAGCCGUAGCCGUUUGCCCGACUAGAUCGGCUGUUACAGGCAAACAGCAGAGACUAACUGAAGAACGCCUAGUUCCUGUCAGUAUGCAACGCAAGCCCUCCCAGGCAUCUUUUGCUUCCCGAGAUUCAAGAAGAACGACAUCCAUAAUACCAACAUACGACGGAGAUGCAUAUGGGACGGCUUCGCAACUGCAUGAAGUCCUUCAGAAUUAUCCAGAAGCGUUGAAGGCGAGGCCCGAAGGCGAGCAAUUCAGUGGCUUUACAAUGGCUUCGCUCGCCCGCUUCUGCAACGAAGCCACUUUCCAAGGGCGCUGCAGAAACGAAAAGAGCCGUAGCGGUUUGGCCGACUAGAUCUGCUGUUACAGGCCAACAGCAGAGACUAACUGAAGAACGUCUUGUUCCUCUCAGUAUGCAACGGAAGCCCUCCCAGGCAUCUUUUGCUUCCCGAGGUGCAAGAAGAACGACAUCCAUAAUACCAACAUACGACGGAGAUGCAUAGGGGAUGGCUUCGCAACUGCAUGAAGUCCUUCAGAAUCAUCCAGAAGCGUUGAGGGCGAGGGCCCGAAGGCGAGCAAUUCACUGGCUUUACAAUGGCUUCGCUCGCCCGCUUCUGCAACGAGGCCACUUUCCAAGGGCGCUGCAGAAACGAAAGAGCCGUAGCGGUUUGGCCGACUAGAUCGGCUGUUACAGGCCAACAGCAGAGACUAACUGAAGAACGUCUUGUUCCUGUCAGUAUGCAACGCAAGCCCUCCCAGGCAUCUUUUGGAAGUGCAAGAACAACAUCCAUAAUACCAAUAUACGACGGAGAUGCAUAGGGGACGGCUUCGCAACGGCAUGAAGUCCUUCAGAAUCAUCCAGAAGCGUUGAGGGCGAGGGCCCGAAGGCGAGCAAUUCACUGGCUUUAGAAUGGCUUCGCUCGCCCGCUUCUGCAACGAGGCCACUUUCCAAGGGCGCUGCAGAAACGAAAGAGCCGUAGCCGUUUGGCCGACUAGAUCGGCUGUUACAGGCAAACAGCAGAGACUAACUGAAGAACGCCUAGUUCCUGUCAGUAUGCAACGCAAGCCCUCCCAGGCAUCUUUUGCUUCCCGAGAUGCAAGAAGAACGACAUCAAUAACACCAACAUAGACUGAGAUGCAUAGGGGACGGCUUCGCAACUGCAUGAAGUCCUUCAGAAUCAUCCAGAAGCGUUGAGGGCGAGGGCCCGAAGGCGAGCAAUUCACUGGCUUUACAAUGGCUUCGCUCGCCCGCUUCUGCAACGAGGCCACUUUCCAAGGGCGCUGCAGAAACGAAAGAGCCGUAGCGGUUUGGCCGACUAGAUCGGCUGUUACAGGCCAACAGCAGAGACUAACUGAAGAACGUCUUGUUCCUGUCAGUAUGCAACGCAGGCCCUCCCAGGCAUCUUUUGCUUCCCGAGGUGCAAGAAGAACGACAUCCAUAAUACCAACAUACGACGGAGAUGCAUAGGGGAUGGCUUCGCAACUGCAUGAAGUCCUUCAGAAUCAUCCAGAAGCGUUGAGGGCGAGGGCCCGAAGGCGAGCAGUUCACUGGCUUUACAAUGGCUUCGCUCGCCCGCUUCUGCAACGAGGCCACUUUCCAAGGGCGCUGCAGAAACGAAAGAGCCGUAGCGGUUUGGCCGACUAGAUCGGCUGUUACAGGCCAACAGCAGAGACUAACUGAAGAACGUCUUGUUCCUGUCAGUACGCAACGCAAGCCCUCCCAGGCAUCUUUUGCUUUCAGAAGUGCAAGAACAACAUCCAUAAUACCAAUAUACGAUGGAGAUGCAUAGGGGACGGCUUCGCAACAGCAUGAAGUCCUUCAGAAUCAUCCAGAAGCGUUGAGGGCGAGGGCCCGAAGGCGAGCAAUUCACUGGCUUUACAAUGGCUUCGCUCGCCCGCUUCUGCAACGAGGCCACUUUCCAAGGGCGCUGCAGAAACGAAAGAGCCGUAGCGGUUUGGCCGACUAGAUCGGCUGUUACAGGCCAACAGCAGAGACUAACUGAAGAACGUGUUGUUCCUGUCAGUAUGCAACGCAGGCCCUCCCAGGCAUCUUUUGCUUCCCGAGGUGCAAGAAGAACGACAUCCAUAAUACCAACAUACGACGGAGAUGCAUAGGGGAUGGCUUCGCAACUGCAUGAAGUCCUUCAGAAUCAUCCAGAAGCGUUGAGGGCGAGGGCCCGAAGGCGAGCAGUUCACUGGCUUUACAAUGGCUUCGCUCGCCCGCUUCUGCAACGAGGCCCCUUUCCAAGGGCGCUGCAGAAACGAAAGAGCCGUAGCGGUUUGGCCGACUAGAUCGGCUGUUACAGGGCAACAGCAGAGACUAACUGAAGAACGUCUUGUUCCUGUCAGUAUGCAACGCAAGCCCUCCCAGGCAUCUUUUGCUUUCAGAAGUGCAAGAACAACAUCCAUAAUACCAAUAUACGACGGAGAUGCAUAGGGGACGGCUUCGCAACUGCAUGAAGUCCUUCAGAAUCAUCCAGAAGCGUUGAGGGCGAGGGCCCGAAGGCGAGCAAUUCACUGGCUUUACAAUUGCUUCGUUCGCCCGCUUCUCCAACGAGGCCAAUUUCCAAGGGCGCUGCAGAAACGAAAGAGCCGUAGCGGUUUGGCCGACUAGAUCGGCUGUUACAGGCCAACAGCAGAGACUAACUGAAGAACGUCUUGUUCCUGUCAGUAUGCAACGCAGGCCCUCCCAGGCAUCUUUUGCUUCCCGAGGUGCAAGAAGAACGACAUCCAUAAUACCAACAUACGACGGAGAUGCAUAGGGGAUGGCUUCGCAACUGCAUGAAGUCCUUCAGAAUCAUCCAGAAGCGUUGAGGGCGAGGGCCCGAAGGCGAGCAGUUCACUGGCUUUACAAUGGCUUCGCUCGCCCGCUUCUGCAACGAGGCCCCUUUCCAAGGGCGCUGCAGAAACGAAAGAGCCGUAGCGGUUUGGCCGACUAGAUCGGCUGUUACAGGGCAACAGCAGAGACUAACUGAAGAACGUCUUGUUCCUGUCAGUAUGCAACGCAAGCCCUCCCAGGCAUCUUUUGCUUUCAGAAGUGCAAGAACAACAUCCAUAAUACCAAUAUACGACGGAGAUGCAUAGGGGACGGCUUCGCAACUGCAUGAAGUCCUUCAGAAUCAUCCAGAAGCGUUGAGGGCGAGGGCCCGAAGGCGAGCAAUUCUCUGGCUUUACAAUGGCUUCGUUCGCCCGCUUCUGCAACGAGGCCACUUUCCAAGGGCGCUGCAGAAACGAAAGAGCCGUAGCGGUUUGGCCGACUAGAUCGGCUGUUACAGGCCAACAGCAGAGACUAACUGAAGAACGUCUUGUUCCUGUCAGUAUGCAACGCAGGCCCUCCCAGGCAUCUUUUGCUUCCCGAGGUGCAAGAAGAACGACAUCCAUAAUACCAACAUACGACGGAGAUGCAUAGGGGACGGCUUCGCAACUGCAUGAAGUCCUUCAGAAUCAUCCAGAAGCGUUGAGGGCGAGGGCCCGAAGGCGAGCAAUUCACUGGCUUUACAAUGGCUUCGUUCGCCCGCUUCUGCAACGAGGCCACUUUCCAAGGGCGCUGCAGAAACGAAAGAGCCGUAGCGGUUUGGCCGACUAGAUCGGCUGUUACAGGCCAACAGCAGAGACUAACAGAAGAACGUCUUGUUCCUGUCAGUAUGCAACGCAAGCCCUCCCAGGCAUCUUUUGCUUUCAGAAGUGCAAGAACAACAUCCAUAAUACCAAUAUACGACGGAGAUGCAUAGGGGACGGCUUCGCAACUGCAUGAAGUCCUUCAGAAUCAUCCAGAAGCGUUGAGGGCGAGGGCCCGAAGGCGAGCAAUUCACUGGCUUUACAAUGGCUUCGUUCGCCCGCUUCUGCAACGAGGCCACUUUCCAAGGGCGCUGCAGAAACGAAAGAGCCGUAGCGGUUUGGCCGACUAGAUCGGCUGUUACAGGCCAACAGCAGAGACUAACUGAAGAACGUCUUGUUCCUCUCAGUAUGCAACGCAAGACCUCCCAGGCAUCUUUUGCUUUCAGAGGUGCAAGAAGAAAGACAUCUGCAGAAACGAAAGAGCCGUAGUGGUUUGGCCGACUAGAUCGGCUGUUGUUCGAACGACAUCAAUAACACCAACAUAGGGGACGGCUUCGCAACGCAAGCCCUCCCAAGCAUCCCAGCGGUGUGGCCGACUACCACCUUUCCGGAGCACAACUGACAUUAGGACAAGACAUGACAAGAUUCGUCCUGAAGCGGCACAAAGGCGAGCAAUUCACUUGCUCAGUGGCUUCAACAGCGGCUACAACCAACGGAACUCGGAACGUAACUGCCUUCUUGCGCACUGCCUCCCGAACAAUAAAAAGAAUCGCGUCCUAUAA